UACGUAGGGACCAAGCGUUGUUCGGAUUUACUGGGCGUAAAGGGCGCGUAGGCGGCAAUUCAAGUCAGCUGUGAAAUCUCUGGGCUUAACCCAGAACGGCCAGCUGAUACUGCUUUGCUAGAGUGCAGAAGGGGCAAUCGGAAUUCUUGGUGUAGCGGUGAAAUGCGUAGAUAUCGAGAGGAACACCUGCGGCGAAGGCGGGUUGCUGGGCUGACACUGACGCUGAGGCGCGAAAGCUAGGGGAGCGAACGGG
rnacentral:rRNA from 1 species